UUUAAAGUUGCAGUCCUUUGAUCCUGAGUGUGUAACCCUGAAUUCCCAAUUCACUUCUGUCUUUUGCUGAUUUAGAUGGCAGACUCAACAGCAAUUUGGUGGCCCAUUCAGAAUUGCAGUGAGAGCAAAGAACUUGCAAAAUUCCUGUCAUGCUGCAAACAUCUCAGGUCCUUUUUUUUAGGCAGUCUCUUCCUGUUCUUCCUCAGUCCCUCUUCCUCACUAGACUCUUCUCACUUCUUCAUUUGCAAGCAAUUCUUCCCAUAAGCCUCUUCAAUUACCCGCUGCGGCCAGUUGGCCUGUCCAUUGGCAGCUAUGACUACAGAUCAUGCCAAAGCUGUCUCUCAAAUUCCCCCCCUACUCAGGCUGUCACUUCAACUCCUCCUUUUCCAGACACUCUGAUUCUCCUGUCACUGUUCCAGCUCUCCCUUCUCCGACUGCUGCUCCCCACCAGCCUCUUUCUUCAAGACGGUCUCUCAGCUCCAAUAGCCACCUGAUUUUUCUCUGAAAAAAUAAACAAGUACUAAAGGAAUUAGCUAGGCUCCCUCCACCCACAAGAUCAUUAUUUUUGUAACUGGAGACCUUCUUUAAUCCAAAAACCCAAUAAUUCUCCCUAAAGCCCCCCAUCAUGGCAUAACCACUUUGCAGCAAAAAUAGCAGAGCACCUGAGUGAGGUCUCUUUUAAUUACUUUUACAAAGCAACUAGUUACAAAGAAGACUAGAUAAACAAUAGGUUGAGUAAUCUGUUUGAAUAAACUGGUUUAGAGACAAGCAUACAAAAUCAAAGAAAAAUCUGUGGCUUCCCUCUCGAUACAUUAAAGCUAGUUUGAUCCAAUAAGAUAUCUAAGGAAUGGAGGGCAAAGAGCAUUGUAAAUGUAGCAAGUAUCUUUGGAAUUUUGGACUCUACUCCUUUGAAAAAGCUAUAAAUAAAUUUCACACCAGAUUCUCCUCCACCCUCAUUUACAACUCCAGUGUCUCUUGGAAUUUGGUACAUAGGAACAAAAUCAUGUUUUACUUAUCUCUGAGAAGAUAUCAGAGAAUUACUAGAAGACUUAAGUAUCAGAAGGGUAGCCGUAUUAGUAUGGAUCUGUAAAAAGCAAUGAGUUCUGUGGCACCUUAAAG